GACGAACGCGGCGGCGUGCCUAAUACAUGCAAGUAGAACGCUGAAGGAGGAGCUUGCUUCUCUGGAUGAGUUGCGAACGGGUGAGUAACGCGUAGGUAACCUGCCUGGUAGCGGGGGAUAACUAUUGGAAACGAUAGCUAAUACCGCAUAACAGUAGAUGUUGCAUGACAUUUGCUUAAAAGGUGCAAUUGCAUCACUACCAGAUGGACCUGCGUUGUAUUAGCUAGUUGGUGGGGUAACGGCUCACCAAGGCGACGAUACAUAGCCGACCUGAGAGGGUGAUCGGCCACACUGGGACUGAGACACGGCCCAGACUCCUACGGGAGGCAGCAGUAGGGAAUCUUCGGCAAUGGACGGAAGUCUGACCGAGCAACGCCGCGUGAGUGAAGAAGGUUUUCGGAUCGUAAAGCUCUGUUGUAAGAGAAGAACGAGUGUGAGAGUGGAAAGUUCACACUGUGACGGUAUCUUACCAGAAAGGGACGGCUAACUACGUGCCAGCAGCCGCGGUAAUACGUAGGUCCCGAGCGUUGUCCGGAUUUAUUGGGCGUAAAGCGAGCGCAGGCGGUUAGAUAAGUCUGAAGUUAAAGGCUGUGGCUUAACCAUAGUACGCUUUGGAAACUGUUUAACUUGAGUGCAAGAGGGGAGAGUGGAAUUCCAUGUGUAGCGGUAAAAUGCGUAGAUAUAUGGAGGAACACCGGUGGCGAAAGCGGCUCUCUGGCUUGUAACUGACGCUGAGGCUCGAAAGCGUGGGGAGCAAACAGG
rnacentral:rRNA from 1 species